rnacentral:snRNA from 1 species
AUACUUAUUGGCAGAGGAAAUAUCACAAUCAGAUGGAUGGCUUUCCCAGGAGAAGGCUCAUCUCUAGCAUUCCAGAUGUGCCAACUCAUGUUAUUUCCCCAGAUACAGGAAUGUCAACUGCAUAAUUUGUAUGAAUU